AGUGAACGCUGGCGGUAGGCCUAACACAUGCAAGUCGAACGGCAGCACAGUAAGAGCUUGCUCUUACGGGUGGCGAGUGGCGGACGGGUGAGGAAUACAUCGGAAUCUACUUUUUCGUGGGGGAUAACGUAGGGAAACUUACGCUAAUACCGCAUACGACCUACGGGUGAAAGCAGGGGAUCUUCUGACCUUGCGCGAUUGAAUGAGCCGAUGUCGGAUUAGCUAGUUGGCGGGGUAAAUGCCCACCAAGGCGCCGAUCCGUAGCUGGUCUGAGAGGAUGGUCGGCGACCCUGGAACGGAGACACGGUCCAGACUCCUACGGGAGGCAGCAGUGGGGAAUAGUGGACAAAGGGCGCAAGCCUGAUCCAGCCAGACCGCGUGGGUGAAGAAGGCCUUCGGGUUGUAAAGCCCUUUUGUUGGGAAAGAAAAGCAGCAGGUUAAUACCACGCUGUUCUGACGGUACCCAAAGAAUAAGCACCGGCUAACUUCGUG
rnacentral:rRNA from 1 species